GAUGAACGCUGGCGGCGUGCCUAAUACAUGCAAGUCGAGCGAACGGACGAGAAGCUUGCUUCUCUGAUGUUAGCGGCGGACGGGUGAGUAACACGUGGAUAACCUACCUAUAAGACUGGGAUAACUUCGGGAAACCGGAGCUAAUACCGGAUGAUAUUUUGAACCGCAUGGUUCAAAAGUGAAAGACGGUCUUGCUGUCACUUAUAGAUGGAUCCGCGCUGCAUUAGCUAGUUGGUAAGGUAACGGCUUACCAAGGCAACGAUGCAUAGCCGACCUGAGAGGGUGCUCGGCCACACUGGAACUGAGACACGGUCCAGACUCCUACGGGAGGCAGCAGUAGGGAAUCUUCCGCAAUGGGCGAAAGCCUGACGGAGCAACGCCGCGUGAGUGAUGAAGGUCUUCGGAUCGUAAAACUCUGUUAUUAGGGAAGAACAUAUGUGUAAGUAACUGUGCACAUCUUGACGGUACCUAAUCAGAAAGCCACGGCUAACUACGU
rnacentral:rRNA from 1 species